rnacentral:rRNA from 1 species
UUAAGCGACUAAGCGUACACGGUGGAUGCCCUGGCAGUCAGAGGCGAUGAAGGACGUGCUAAUCUGCGAAAAGCGUCGGUAAGGUGAUAUGAACCGUUAUAACCGGCGAUGUCCGAAUGGGGAAACCCAGUGCAAUUCGUUGCACUAUCGUUAACUGAAUACAUAGGUUAACGAGGCGAACCGGGGGAACUGAAACAUCUAAGUACCCCGAGGAAAAGAAAUCAACCGAGAUUCCCCCAGUAGCGGCGAGCGAACGGGGAGCAGCCCAGAGUCUGAAUCAGCUUGUGUGUUAGUGGAACGGUCUGGAAAGUCCGACGGUACAGGGUGAUAGUCCCGUACACCAAAAUGCACAGGCUGUGAACUCGAAGAGUAGGGCGGGACACGUGGUAUCCUGUCUGAAUAUGGGGGGACCAUCCUCCAAGGCUAAAUACUCCUGACUGACCGAUAGUGAACCAGUACCGUGAGGGAAAGGCGAAAAGAACCCCGGCGAGGGGAGUGAAAAAGAACCUGAAACCGUGUACGUACAAGCAGUGGGAGCACCUUCGGGUGUGACUGCGUACCUUUUGUAUAAUGGGUCAGCGACUUAUAUUCUGUAGCAAGGUUAACCGUAUAGGGGAGCCGCAGGGAAACCGAGUCUUAACUGGGCGUUAAGUUGCAGGGUAUAGACCCGAAACCCGGUGAUCUAGCCAUGGGCAGGUUGAAGGUUGGGUAACACUAACUGGAGGACCGAACCGACUAAUGUUGAAAAAUUAGCGGAUGACUUGUGGCUGGGGGUGAAAGGCCAAUCAAACCGGGAGAUAGCUGGUUCUCCCCGAAAGCUAUUUAGGUAGCGCCUCGUGAAUUCAUCUUCGGGGGUAGAGCACUGUUUCGGCUAGGGGGUCAUCCCGACUUACCAACCCGAUGCAAACUACGAAUACCGAAGAAUGUUAUCACGGGAGACACACGGCGGGUGCUAACGUCCGUCGUGAAGAGGGAAACAACCCAGACCGCCAGCUAAGGUCCCAAAGUCAUGGUUAAGUGGGAAACGAUGUGGGAAGGCACAGACAGCCAGGAUGUUGGCUUAGAAGCAGCCAUCAUUUAAAGAAAGCGUAAUAGCUCACUGGUCGAGUCGGCCUGCGCGGAAGAUGUAACGGGGCUAAACCAUGCACCGAAGCUGCGGCAGCGACACUAUGUGUUGUUGGGUAGGGGAGCGUUCUGUAAGCCUGCGAAGGUGACCUGUGAGGGUUGCUGGAGGUAUCAGAAGUGCGAAUGCUGACAUAAGUAACGAUAAAGCGGGUGAAAAGCCCGCUCGCCGGAAGACCAAGGGUUCCUGUCCAACGUUAAUCGGGGCAGGGUGAGUCGACCCCUAAGGCGAGGCCGAAAGGCGUAGUCGAUGGGAAACAGGUUAAUAUUCCUGUACUUGGUGUUACUGCGAAGGGGGGACGGAGAAGGCUAUGUUAGCCGGGCGACGGUUGUCCCGGUUUAAGCAUGUAGGCUGAUUAUCCAGGCAAAUCCGGAUAAUCAAGGCUGAGGUGUGAUGACGAGGCACUACGGUGCUGAAGUAACAAAUGCCCUGCUUCCAGGAAAAGCCUCUAAGCAUCAGGUAACAUCAAAUCGUACCCCAAACCGACACAGGUGGUCAGGUAGAGAAUACCAAGGCGCUUGAGAGAACUCGGGUGAAGGAACUAGGCAAAAUGGUGCCGUAACUUCGGGAGAAGGCACGCUGGUGUGUAGGUGAAGCCCCUGCGGGUGGAGCUGAGACCAGUCGAAGAUACCAGCUGGCUGCAACUGUUUAUUAAAAACACAGCACUGUGCAAACACGAAAGUGGACGUAUACGGUGUGACGCCUGCCCGGUGCCGGAAGGUUAAUUGAUGGGGUUAUCCGUAAGGAGAAGCUCUUGAUCGAAGCCCCGGUAAACGGCGGCCGUAACUAUAACGGUCCUAAGGUAGCGAAAUUCCUUGUCGGGUAAGUUCCGACCUGCACGAAUGGCGUAAUGAUGGCCAGGCUGUCUCCACCCGAGACUCAGUGAAAUUGAACUCGCUGUGAAGAUGCAGUGUACCCGCGGCAAGACGGAAAGACCCCGUGAACCUUUACUAUAGCUUGACACUGAACAUUGAGCCUUGAUGUGUAGGAUAGGUGGGAGGCUUUGAAGCGUGGACGCCAGUCUGCGUGGAGCCAACCUUGAAAUACCACCCUUUAAUGUUUGAUGUUCUAACGUUGGCCCCUGACCGGGGUUGCGGACAGUGUCUGGUGGGUAGUUUGACUGGGGCGGUCUCCUCCCAAAGCGUAACGGAGGAGCACGAAGGUUAGCUAAUCCUGGUCGGACAUCAGGAGGUUAGUGCAAUGGCAUAAGCUAGCUUGACUGCGAGCGUGACGGCGCGAGCAGGUGCGAAAGCAGGUCAUAGUGAUCCGGUGGUUCUGAAUGGAAGGGCCAUCGCUCAACGGAUAAAAGGUACUCCGGGGAUAACAGGCUGAUACCGCCCAAGAGUUCAUAUCGACGGCGGUGUUUGGCACCUCGAUGUCGGCUCAUCACAUCCUGGGGCUGAAGUAGGUCCCAAGGGUAUGGCUGUUCGCCAUUUAAAGUGGUACGCGAGCUGGGUUUAGAACGUCGUGAGACAGUUCGGUCCCUAUCUGCCGUGGGCGCUGGAGAAUUGAGGGGGGCUGCUCCUAGUACGAGAGGACCGGAGUGGACGCAUCACUGGUGUUCGGGUUGUCAUGCCAAUGGCACUGCCCGGUAGCUAAAUGCGGAAGAGAUAAGUGCUGAAAGCAUCUAAGCACGAAACUUGCCCCGAGAUGAGUUCUCCCUGAGACUUUAAGUCUCCUGAAGGAACGUUAAAGACGAUGACGUUGAUAGGCCGGGUGUGUAAGCGCAGCGAUGCGUUGAGCUAACCGGUACUAAUGAACCGUGAGGCUUAACCUU